UAGUCCACGCCGUAAACGAUGAGUACUAGUUAUUAGAGGUAUUGACCCCUUUUAGUGACGCAGCUAACGCAUUAAGUACUCCGCCUGGGAAGUACGGUCGCAAGACUAAAACUCAAAGGAAUUGACGGGGGCCCGCACAAGCGGUGGAUUAUGUGGUUUAAUUCGAAGCAACGCGCAAAACCUUACCUAGGCUUGAAAUCCUGUGAAUCUGAUGUAAUUGUCGGAGUGCUCGCAAGGGAACACAGUGACAGGUGCUGCAUGGCUGUCGUCAGCUCGUGUUGUGAAAUGUUGGGUUAAGUCUCGCAACGAGCGCAACCCCUAUCCUUAGUUGCCAGCAUUAAGUUGGGCACUCUAGGGAGACUGCCUGGGCAACCAGGAGGAAGGUGGGGAUGACGUCAAGUCCUCAUGGCCCUUAUGCCUAGGGCUACACACGUAAUACAAUGGUGCAUACAAUGGGAAGCGACCCUGCGAAGGUGAGCAAAUCUCAAAAAGUGCAU
rnacentral:rRNA from 1 species